rnacentral:rRNA from 1 species
AAAACUAGAAUGAAAGGUUAUACAUUCAAAUUUCUUUAUUAAUUUUUUAAUAAAUAAUUUAUAUUAAAUAUAAAAAUAUAUUUACAAAAAAAAAAGACGACAAGACCCUAUUAAAUUUUACUUAUAGUUUAGCUGGGGAAGCUUUUCAAUUAAAAUUUUUUAAAAAAAAAAUUAAAUAAAUAUCUAAUAAAAUUAAAAUUUUAAUAAAUUACUAUAGGGAUAACAGCAUUAUAUUUUUUAAAAGUUCAUAUUAAAAAAAAUGAUUGUGACCUCGAUGUUGAAUUAUAUUUUCUAUAUUUAAUGCAAUAAUUAUAUAAGUAGAUCUGUUCGAUCUUUAAAAUAUUACAUGAUUUGAGUUCAAACCGGUGUAAACCAGGUUGGUUUCUAUCUUUUUAUAUAUUUUUCUAGUACGAAAGGACAAAAAAAUUUUUAUUUUAAUAAAUUAGCAAAUGAAUGCAUUAGAUUUAGAAUCUAAAUAUAUAUAUAUA